rnacentral:tRNA from 1 species
GCGGCGGUAAUUCAGCUGGUAGAAUGUCUCCUUGCCAAGGAGAAUGUCGUGGGUUCGAAUCCCAUCCGCCGCUCCA